UGGGUANUGAGACAAGGACCCAGGCCCUAUGGGGCGCAGCAGGCGAGAAAACUUUGCAAUGUGCGAAAGCACGACAAGGUUAGUCCGAGUGAUUUCUGCUAAAGAGAUCUUUUGCAAGUCGUAAAACCACUAGUGAAUAAGGGGUGGGCAAGUUCUGGUGUCAGCCGCCGCGGUAAAACCAGCACCUCAAGUGGUCAGGAGGAUUAUUGGGCCUAAAGCAUCCGUAGCCUGCUUUGUAAGUUUUCGGUUAAAUCCAUGUGCUCAACACAUGGGCUGCCGAAAAUACUGCACAGCUAGGGAGUGGGAGAGGUAGACGGUACUCAGUAGGAAGGGGUAAAAUCCUUUGAUCUAUUGAUGACCACCUGUGGCGAAGGCGGUCUACCAGAACACGUUCGACGGUGAGGGAUGAAAGCUGGGGGAGCAAACCGGAUUAGAUACCCGGGUAGUCCCAGCUGUAAACGAUGCAGACUCGAUGAUGCAUUGGCAUAUAGCUAGUGCAGUGUCGCAGGGAAGCCGUUAAGUCUGCCGCCUGGGAAGUACGUACGCAAGUAUGAAACUUAAAGGAAUUGGCGGGGGAGCACCACAAGGGGUGAAGCCUGCGGUUCAAUUGGAGUCAACGCCAGAAAUCUUACCCGGAGAGACAGCAGAAUGAAGGUCAAGCUGAAGACUUUACCAGACAAGCUGAGAGGUGGUGCAUGGCCGUCGCCAGCUCGUGCCGUGAGAUGUCCUGUUAAGUCAGGUAACGAGCGAGAUCCCUGCCAUUAGUUGCUAUCAUUAUUCUCAGGAAUAGUGGGGCGAACUAAUGGGACUGCCGUUGUUAAAACGGAGGAAGGAAGGGGCUACGGCAGGUCAGUAUGCCCCGAAACUCUGGGGCCACACGCGGGCUGCAAUGGUAGUGACAAUGAGUUCCAAACUCGAAAGAGAGUGGCAAUCUUCAAACACUACCACAGUUAUGACUGAGGGCUGUAACUCGCCCUCACGAAUAUGGAAUCCCUAGUAACCGCGUGUCAUUACCGCGCGGUGAAUACGUCCCUGCUCCUUGCACACACCGCCCGUCGUUUCAUCGAAGUUUGCUUUUAGCGAGGUGAUGUUUAAUUGGCAUUAUC
rnacentral:rRNA from 1 species